rnacentral:lncRNA from 1 species
UUGGAUUCGUGUGCCCCUCUAUUAUGUGUUCUAGUCAUGUCAUCAUGUAAACGAGAACUUCUCCUUAUGAAGCUCUGGCGCACCAUAUCACACACUCUAUAGCCCACGAGACUCCACCGUACCGUGUCAUGCAACCUCUACAUCCCACGAAGCUCCUCCGCACCAUGUCAUGCACUUCUCACAACUCCUCCUCACCACACUACACCAUUGUAUCUCCACCAAU